rnacentral:tRNA from 1 species
GUCCCUUUCGUCUAGAGGCCUAGGACAUUGCCUUUUCACGGCAACAACACGGGUUCGACUCCCGUAAGGGAUA